GCCAUUUCUGGAACACAGCUUUCUGUGUGCUGACUCUGAGUAAAUACUUCCCAGAAGACUUCAAGAGCAAGGGGACCAGAAACCAAUGAAAAUGGUGGUGGCCUAGGUGAUCCAGCCUCUCAGAUGCCUCUAUUGCACUUUCCUCGGAACAGCUUCAAGGCUGCUGGCUGAGAUGGCCCAGCCUCACAGACUAUUCUGGCCAGGACUGCAGAUAAGCCUUGUGCUUUCUCAAUACACGGGGACUGGACAACAAAUGUUAUGGCUAGUUUUCCCAGGACUUGACCAUUAUCUCCACUUCCUCAGGGCCCUAAAGGUGCCCUCACCCCAGACAACAGAAAGCAGUCUGGAGAACAUGGUGCUCACAUUCCCAAGAGAACACUCCUUCAAAAAUUCCUGCUUUACAGAAAAGUCUGUCAGAUAUUCUGGUCCUGUAGGCUGAAGAUGGAUGCCCCAACAUUACAGAGGAACCUUGUAGUGACUGUCCAGGCUGCCAGAUGUCUCUGUUCAUUUUUUAGUUUUUGAAGUCACUUGCUCUGCACUUCGUGUUUACUCAGAAUGGAGUGUGAGAGACACAAAUGAAAAGCAGAUAAGCCGAUUAGGAGAGCACUGGAUCACAGCUGCUAAUGGACAGAGAAAGAUGACGUCCAUGGGUUGGCCUUGUCAGGAGCAGGUCUGAGGGCACUGAAAAGG